rfam:Agrilus planipennis Contig48627, whole genome shotgun sequence.
CCUCUCGUGGCUUAGUGUUCAGAGCGUUGGUGUAUUAAACCAAAGGUCCAGGGUUCGAUUCCCGGCGAGAAUG